GCGCCAGCUGGUCAGGGUUCCGAUGACCCCAAUAUGCGGCAUUGGCAAGGAGUUUGGUGGUCGUCUCGUUACCGGCGAUC
rnacentral:tRNA from 2 species